rnacentral:rRNA from 1 species
GAUGAACGCUGGCGGCGUGCCUAAUACAUGCAAGUCGAGCGAACAGAUGAGGAGCUUGCUCCUCUGACGUUAGCGGCGGACGGGUGAGUAACACGUGGAUAACCUACCUAUAAGACUGGGAUAACUUCGGGAAACCGGAGCUAAUACCGGAUAAUAUAUUGAACCGCAUGGUUCAAUAGUGAAAGACGGUUUUGCUGUCACUUAUAGAUGGAUCCGCGCCGCAUUAGCUAGUUGGUAAGGUAACGGCUUACCAAGGCAACGAUGCGUAGCCGACCUGAGAGGGUGAUCGGCCACACUGGAACUGAGACACGGUCCAGACUCCUACGGGAGGCAGCAGUAGGGAGUCUUCCGCAAUGGGCGAAAGCCUGACGGAGCAACGCCGCGUGAUUGAUGAAGGUCUUCGGAUCGUAAAACUCUGUUAUUAGGGAAGAACAAAUGUGUAAGUAACUAUGCACGUCUUGACGGUACCUAAUCAGAAAGCCACGGCUAACUACGUG